UUGAUCUUAGUAUAUAAGUACAAAAAUUUUUGAAAUUUUUAGGAAAAGUUUAAAUCUUUUAGAUCAAA